GAAUUUUGGGCAAUGGGCGAAAGCCUGACCCAGCAACGCCGCGUGAAGGAUGAAGUCUUUCGGGAUGUAAACUUCGUAAGAAUGGGAAGAAUAAAUGACGGUACCAUUUGUAAGGUCCGGCUAACUACGUGCCAGCAGCCGCGGUAAUACGUAGGGACCAAGCGUUGUUCGGAUUUACUGGGCGUAAAGGGCGCGUAGGCGGCAAUUCAAGUCAGCUGUGAAAUCUCCGAGCUUAACUCGGAACGGUCAGCUGAUACUGCUUUGCUAGAGUGCAGAAGGGGCAAUCGGAAUUCUUGGUGUAGCGGUGAAAUGCGUAGAUAUCAAGAGGAACACCUGAGGUGAAGACGGGUUGCUGGGCUGACACUGACGCUGAGUGCGCGAAAGCUAGGGUAGCAAAC
rnacentral:rRNA from 1 species